rfam:Triticum urartu cultivar G1812 contig1010541, whole genome shotgun sequence.
GAGACCCAAUAUCCGUCCGGAAAUACUUGUCAUCAAAAUGGAUGAAAAUGAAUGUAUCUAGAACUAAAAUACAUCUAGAUACAUCCAUUUCAAUGACAAGUAUUUCCGGACGGAGGGAGUA